GGAGAGAUGGCCGAGUCGGUCGAAGGCGGUCGCCUGCUAAGCGAUUAAGCGGGACUAAAACCUGCUUCGAGGGUUCGAAUCCCUCUCUCUCCGCCA
rnacentral:tRNA from 1 species